UACAGAGGUCUCAAGCGUUGUUCGGAUUCAUUGGGCGUAAAGGGUGCGUAGGCGGCGCGGUAAGUCGGGUGUGAAAUCUCGGAGCUUAACUCCGAAACUGCAUUCGAUACUGCCGUGCUUGAGGACUGGAGAGGAGACUGGAAUUUACGGUGUAGCGGUGAAAUGCGUAGAUAUCGUAAGGAAGACCAGUGGCGAAGGGCGGGUCUCGUG
rnacentral:rRNA from 1 species